AAUAAAUGCAGUUUUGCACUAUUCACAUUCAACGUUUGACCGUUCGUCUUAUUUAAACCUUUUUUAUGAUUAGUAUUUUUAUUACUAUUAGAUGAUAAAACAUAAAUAGUACUUUACGUGUGACUAAAUAUUUUCAAAUUUUUUACAAAUUUUUUAAAUAAGACGGACGGUCAAACAUUGGGCACGGAUAUCCACGGCUACACUUAUU
rfam:Oryza sativa Japonica Group DNA, chromosome 10, cultivar: Nipponbare, complete sequence.